rnacentral:rRNA from 1 species
UCGUGGAGUGAUCUGUCUGCUUAAUUGCGUUUCACUAAGGACUCUGAUUUCAUGUGUGUAUGCGGCCAGCUUUGACCCUUAAUUGCGUGUCUCAGUUUGGCUUGCGCACACUUCCGAGUCCUCAUAGCAACGAACGUGACCGCAACCUCUUGUUGCCUUUAUCCAUGACAGCAGUCAUUCUUGUCUGUUGUUCUAAAGGAAAACUAGAGGGACCG